CGGUCCAGACUCCUACGGGAGGCAGCAGUGGGGAAUAUUGCACAAUGGGCGAAAGCCUGAUGCAGCGACGCCGCGUGAGGGAUGACGGCCUUCGGGUUGUAAACCUCUUUCAGUAAGGGAGAAGCGAAAGUGACGGUACCUGCAGAAGAAGCGCCGGCUAACUACGUGCCAGCAGCCGCGGUAA
rnacentral:rRNA from 1 species